CGGACUUGCAAUCAGCAGCAAUCACUGCUCAAAGAACAUAGAAACAUCAUCAAAACCCAUUCACAUGUAUUUUAGUAUCUUCUUCUCAAACAUUAACAACCCCAUACAAAGCCCCUUUUUCUUUAAUCUUACUAUUCACCAAAGUUAACAAAACUUACUCUUCGGGAUUCCUCAUGCAUAACUGAAAUACUCACCCAGGAUAUGAUAAAAUAUCCUACUUAAGAUAUUAUCUUCAGUUCCAGCUCAAAGAUAACAAAUUGUAUUCAACUUUCAAAAUAAGCCUACAGCAACAUCCUAAUGGGAGGAAGAAGGGAAAACUCCCUUUUAUCAAACCCAUUUAACUAAUAUAUAAUUACAAAUAAGACCAAUAUUCCCUUAGUAAAACUUGACACAUGUCACACUCUUUAAAAAAAUCGUCAUUAGUGGUUUACAGUAGUAAAUGAAAAUAUAAAUAAGAAUCAAAUAUAGACAAUAUAUGGUUACCCUAACUAGAGGGUCCCUAAUUACUACACUUAUAAUGCAGCUAGCACAGUCACCCUAAUAACAUGGCGAACUACGCCUUUGGCAAGUACUCCUUUUAGAAUCAUCUCUCCACUUGGUUGUUAUCUCAUUCCAACCAACAUAAUGAUCUGUCAUUAAACCAUCCUCGACUUAAACAUUGUUAAGAACACACCCAUUCUAUGCUCUAAAGGAAACUAUCAGAUGGAUACCACUUCGCCAAAUAGACUAUUUCAAAACUACGCACCAGCCUUGAAUCCACCAAAACUAGGGUGUUACAUACCUUCAUUUUGUAAAAUACCAGUCUAGUAGUAAUGUGUUUACCUUACUAGAUGCAUUAAAAAGAGAGGUUUUCACUCUGAAGUUACUUACACGGAUUUUAUUCACAUACUUGACUAAUUCAUACCUUCUCAUAUCAUAUUUCACUUACUUACCAUUUAACUUCUUAUUCAAACAGUAUCUCACACAUAACAUCAUUAUAUUCAUUACACAUGAACAACCUUUUCAAUACUUUGUAUACACACUUACCAAUUGUCUGAAAGGUUCUCUUUUUAUAUUUCUAUUUGUAUUGUUCACAUGUAGGAGUUAGGAUAGAAACUCACCUAGACUAUAGCUUGAAGUUCCAAAACUUGAACAUCCCUCUCGAACCAACAGCAUCAAGUACUUAAAGAAUAUGGAACCAUCAUUAAAACCCAUUUAUAGACAAAUGACUAGCAUCUCAAUUAUAGAAAAGCUCCAUGCAAGGUCCCUUAUUCACAACUCACUAUUCAAAUGCUUUUUACUACCCUUAUUCUUUCAAAAACUUAACAUACAAAGCUAUCAGACUCACCAAGAUAUGGAUCAUCCACUCAUUCCAUCAAAACCUUAGCUUCCAAUUUAAAUAAAUAGGAAGAACAUUUAUAAGUUGAGAAAAAGAACCAGAGGGUAGUACUAAAAAAAGAAAACCAACCUAACGAACCUUUCUCACUAUUUAUAUAUAUCCAGCUUCCCUUAAUUGAAAGUCGACAAGUGUUGGUUGUAUCCAGAAUUUUUCCUUAUAAUUGGCCUAUAGAACCCAAGGGAAAUAUAAAUGAGGAUCCAGUACAAGUUUUACUUGACCAAUGAAUUUAGUUGGACCCUAACCAGAUCACAUUAAAAAACCAACUAGCAUAGUGCUCAAGCAAAUUGGAAGUACUAUGCAUAUGGUGGUAACUCUUACCAGGCAUACUUUUCACUUGUUCUAAUCUUUUCUUAAAUAGCAAAAUAACCUGAUAUAAACUCUUUAAUUAAUUCUACGACAGAUACUCUAUGCAUCAAUCAUCAAUUUGCCAAAAACUUAUAUAUUGACGAAUUAUCACCUAGGUGCACCAAAACAAAUAACAUGCACCACUAUACGCCUUUCUCUCGGAUCUGCCAGAUUUGGGAUGUGAUAUGUUUACUUAAUCUAUACCAUUUUUCCAUCCCACCAAUAGUAGUAAUUAUUCAUGUAUAAAUAUUAGUAGUACAAUCUUUUGAUAUCUCACUCUUAGUAAGCAUAGAAAAUUCAAGAUCAGAUACUCAGGACUAGACAACCGACCACUUUAAGAUAACACAUCAAAGUGCUUACAUCCAAAGACUGAAGUAAUGCAUCCAUAAUGCACAAGAGUGUUACACCCUAAGGCUUUAAAUACAAUCGAAACUGCAUUUCCUAUCAUACGCAUGCGUAAAUCCUAUUAGCAUGUCAAACGUGUCCUAGCUAUUUGACUAAGGGUGGAUUUGGAUGGGAGGUGCGGUGCGUUUAGUUUACUUUUUGUCUCACACUAUAGCAUCGGUACAGUAUUUAAUCUCACCUCCACUAUUGUUUUUACACUAACCACAGGUAAACACACCGCCCAUCCAAACCCACCCUAAGUUACUAGGACAUUUAACACUUUUUAACAUUAAAUAAAUUCAAUUUCAACCAUGUUUACUUAGGCACUCUUAUUAUAACAAUUUUCCUUCAUAUUACUAGGAUCACAUUUCCAAGUUCUAACUAGCCAUCUUAUUGCCAAUUUAUAAUGUUUCAAUGUUUAUUUCCUACUUUUGUUGGAAAAAAUCUAGUUCGAAAAUGGUUUUCUUGCACAGUGAAAAAUAAAACUUUGAAAAUCAAAUCGGUUUGUGAUAUUUAUAGUAAUAAACUUUUUCCUAAAAUCUCACAUAUGUUUUGGGCUAGAGGGAUCCUAGACAUUCUUGACUUUCAACCAAACGACCUUUUCUGCUAUUCUCACACCACAAAACUACUUCAAGUGUGGACCCGAACACUUUCGAAUAUGGGUUCGAACACUUUCGAAUCAAACACAAAACAAAAAAUUAUUUUUUAAAAUUUUAGUGGGAAAGUAAAACUUUCUUUCACAUAGUGUAACACCCCAUACCCAGUAUAGUCGUCAGACCCCGAGCUACAGGAUGUCACAACAAUAAAUAGAAAUAUUUGUAUACAAAUUACUCAAUAAUAUUCAAUAAUUUCAUUUAAAUAAGUUAAAUCUAUAUUUAACAUGCAUUACAAACAAAACUACGUCUCAAUCGGGCUUACCAAAGCCCUUAAACAAGUUCGAAACUAAACCGAGAUCAUUUUGAAACUUUUACAAAUAAAAACUGGUAGAAUUGUUAUUCCUAGAAAAUAGAAUUUAUUCUAGAAAAUAAAUUUCCACUACUUUCUAGCAGAAUAACAAUAUUGAAAACUUAUGAGAGACUUGUGUUUCUCUAAUUUUUUGGGUGUGUUUUGAAACCUGCCAGUAGCAUCUAUUAAUAGUGAGAGUUGGAAGAAUCCUUAUUGAAUUAGUAGAACCCAAAUAACAUUAAUUUAAUAGAAAAAAAACCCUAGCUCCCUAAUAUUUAGGAGAGAGGGAGGACAACCUUAGGUAAAAAUACUAGAGUUUUUAAUCCUUUUGUUUCCAUGAAGAGGGAAUUUGGCCUCUCCUAUACUAGGUCUAAUUAUAUGUGCUUCUUGGGCUUUUAACCCAUACAUUAUAAUGUAAUCUAACCUAGUACAUGUUUUUUCUAUUUCCUUAAAUAAAUAUUAUUUACAAAAUUAAUUUAAAUAAUUAAUUUCUCAAUUAAAAAAUUUUCUCAACUCAACUCUAAUUUCAUUAAAAUCAUGAUAACUUUAUCGUAAAAGAACCUAUAAGAAAAUAUAUUUAAUUUUUCUACAUCCAAUAUAUUCACAAUGACCAAUUAGUUUAAUUUUAUUUUUGAUCUUCAAUUAAUUAAAUAAUUAAUUGAUUAAAAAAAACAUAUAUUAAUUCUCAAAUCAUUUCCAUACUUUAGUGAGAAACCACAUUAAUUUUCGAAUGUAACUCAUUUCUCUAACUUUAUCAUUUCUAUCCAUUUUUGUUCAUUUGAUUUAACAUGCAAUUCAUUUCUGGUUUCAACAAGCUAGUGGAGGGACCAACUGGACAUAUGUGAUUAGUGCUCAAAUGAUUUAUCAUUAAGUUCCAGUUUUUCUCUUAUUAAUUAUAAACUCAUUCAGUCACGAAGCAAUUCCACUAUGGUAUCGUGACUAAGCUCUCCCUAGUGACAUACCAUUAUGAAAGUUACUCGAUCAGUACUUGUCCAAUUACCUUGUCAUAAGUAUGUUACCACCAUAGGUUAUCUAAUGGUAAUCGUUACAUCUUCCUUCAUGAAAAUUCAAUUGCUAUCAAAUAGUAAUCAAGUCACCUAUCACAAAGACAUACAACCUGUGGCAAUAUUUACCUUUUAUCUAUCAUGUAAUGACGAUGAUAGCAUAUCAUUUACCAUUAGUUAGGCUAUGAAUUUCACUAUUGUGAAUUAUGCUACAUACUAAAAAAGUUGUAUACCCAACACACAAACUUUCGGUUUCUUAUCUAUUUGAACUUUGGCUUUUACUAACAUGAAAGUAUAUGAGUCAUGCAUACAUAGUCCAUCAUCCACUCAGGAUUAAGGUAUGCUACACUAUGAACGUCACAAAUGAAUAAAUCCAUAAAUGGAUUUAGAAUCUAUUCUACUUGGGUCCAAUCCAAUGUAUUGUCAGUCCAAUCAAUCACAUAUAUUUUUCUAUCUUCUAGGAGUCAUCUGCUCCAAUGCCCAAGAUAAAGCAUCUCUCUAAGUGGACUCGAUAGAUGACAUAGUAGUCUUUCAAUCAGUUUACUCAUUUCCGAUUAAACUAAGGAUAUGUUUAUAUAUGUCUACUAAUAUAAGUUAUCUUUUUGUAUUAUGAUCUGACCACGUAAUACCACUUAGUAUUAGUUAAACAUUAGACAACUAGUGAGCCAAUAUUUGCUUCCAUUUUACCCUGGAUACAAAAAUCAUUGAGAACAAUAUACAAAUGGUAUUAAUGUAAUUCAUAUAAUAAUUUUAUUAACCAAUCUGUUCGAAAAAAUUACAAAUGUACAAAUGAAUAUAGUACACUUAUGACACUAGAUCCAACAGCUUCAUCACCAAUACUCAUUCAUGUACAUGUCUGCAUGUGUUUGUCAUAGUCUUAUUGAGACAAGGCAUUUAUUGCCUCUUAUUGGACAUCAACAUUAUUCACAUUUAAGCCUUAUGAUGCAUAAUUUCUUUCCAAUUUUGUUAUUUAAGAUAAUAGUCAUUUAACACACAUUCAUGAUUUUUACUCAAUCAUUUGAAUAAUUAAUUACCUUAAAAAACAAUUAUGUUUAUUCCACCAUAUCACUCUUCUCUAGUGACACCAUGAUAUUUAAGGUUUUAUAUUAUUUUCACAACUAACUUCCACUAGUUUAACAAAACCUUAAUAGCAAUACACUUAGCAUGUUUUAUUAAUUAAUUUAAAUACCUUAAACAAUGGUUUCAUAUUCCAUACACUUAUCUUAAAUUAUUAACUAAAUCUUUUAAUUCAUACUUAAUCUUUUCUAAGGAAAAGCAUGAAAGUCCAAAGGCACUUACCUUUUGGACGCUCUUAAACACAAAAUCAAGCUUUCAAACACUUGUUUCGAUCCUCAUCCUUGCUAGGAAAUCCAAAACUCAAACAUUUCCUCAUUUUCCUUACACACAAAAUUAUUUCAAAACUCAAUAUCCAAACUACAAAACUUAUAUUCAACAAAUAAAAUCAAAUAAUAAACUAGGAGAGAUGAAUUCACCAUAUCUUACCUUAAUGAAGCUAUCUCUUUCUAGCUUACAUUUUCUCUCUCAUAAACCCAUAAAUCCUUUUUGAAAUUUGAUAAAGAUGAUGGCCUUUUUGAAAUUUGAUAAAGAUGAUGGAGGAAAUGAGUGUAGAAGAUAGUUUUCUAAGUGAUUUUAUCAAGAAUCAAGGUUAGGUGUUGAGUUUCUUGAAAAAUCUCAAAGAGAAAACAUGAAAAAUGAAGAGAACCCAUGUAGAAAGGGGCUGGUCAAAAGCUGCUUGUAGGAGGCAGAUGGGAGUUGGUUUCUCUUCUUUCUUUACUUUAAAACUCACACGCC
rnacentral:lncRNA from 1 species